CAGUCGAAAGAAUGAGGUGGCCUCAUGUAGGUGGAUCUCUAACAUAUAUUAGGUUGAAAAGCAGAGCAAGUGAAUGACAAGGUGCAGGAUAAUACGCAUAACAUGCUCACAUUUGAGUAAGAAAAUCCUAUUAAUGCGUGUGCUUGUGUAUGCGUGGAAGCGCUUCUGGAAGGACAUCGAAGAUGCUGGGGAGAGUGAUUGCCUCUGAGAAGAUAACUGGGAGGCUGGGGUGCCAGGAGGGAGGAAGAUGUGCUUCUCACAGUAUGUCCUUGGAUUGCUUACAUUACCAUGUUCAGUGCACAAUGUAUCAGAUCCUUCUUUCAUGCCCCCUCCCCUGUCCCCCGACAGCUGCAAGACAGGGAGGGAGUGAUGGCCUGAGCUAGUGAGACCUGAAACACAGGGCCUGACUGAUGGCCCCAAGGUGAGGGUGUGGGUGAGGACACACCCAGCGUGCCAGUGUCUGUUUUGUGCUGAUGAACAGAUUUGUCAUUGGCACUUUUGCAAAACUGCAAUGAAAUUCUGGCUCAGGGCACAAUCACCCAGCUGGGGCCCCGAGGCUUUUGGAAGUCACCCGUGGACAGCUUGUCAGCAAAUCUUUAUGGAGCAACAACUCUGUGCUAGGUGCUGAGUACACAGUGAUGAGCAAAACAUGCAAAGACCGUGCCCUCUUCAACUUGGAUGGCCAGUGGGGAUUAGGAAAACAAAUAAGUCAACAAACCCACAAUACCAUCAGUGUUGUGUUCAAGUAGGCUAUGCAGAGGGACAGGAGGGCCUGAGGGCUGCUUCAUACAGGGUGAGGAUGGAGGGGUUCUGAGGAGGGAUGCCCAGGCUGAGACCCAAAAGGUGAAAAUGAGCUGAUAGGGAGAGGUGGGUGGCAGCCAGGAGUGAGUAGAAUUACAGGUGGAGGGACCAUGUUGGGAGGCUCCACGGAGGACAGUCUGGAAGGACUGAAGGACAGCCAAUGUGGCCAAAGAGUAGUGAGUGUGAGAGAGGGGGAGCCAGGUGAGGUUGGUGGGGAGGCGGUAGGGACGCCACGCUCCUGCUGCCCUGACUGUGGGGCACAGGGUGGCAGUCAGGCCUGUGGGUCACCCACCUUCUCAGGGGCUGGCAUUUGCCUUUUCUUGCCUUGCCCUUUCAGUUGGAUGCAACCACUCCAUGACUCCAGUGGAGGAUGAGACCCUGGGAUCAGUUCCUGCCCUGGCCACAGGCUUUGCUCACCCUAUGUUCUAAUGAUCAGUAUUUCUGCAGUAACAUCUUGCAGAAAUAGUUUUAGUUCACCCAUGCUGAGGUGGAGGCAGGGAAAACCAGGACUGAGUUGAAAAUGCUCCAGGUUUCAUGUGCCUUUUCCGUGUUCUAGGUGAUCAAGAUUUCUGCAAUAGUAUCCUGCAGAAUUAGGUGGUGUGGACAAGGGGGCUUCAGGGUGCAUCAGGCAACAUUAUGUUUGGCUGCAUGGGACAGAAAAUGCCAGAUCAUGUAGCUUUAAGAAGAUAGAGUUUUAUUUUUUGUAGAUAAACAAAGUUUGGAGGUAAAUCUAGACCCUUGAAUUAGUCCUAGAUCAUCCAUAAGAAGCUACCACAUGGCCCAAGAUGGCUGCUCAAAUGCCAGCAGUUGCAUCUACAUUUCAGACAGGAGGAGGAAUGUGUGGGGAAGAGAAGGGCACACUUCUGUUUAAGGUCCCUUCAUGGAAAUCGUAUAUGAUUUACUUCUGCCUGUAUUUCAUUGUCCAGAAUUUAUCCCAGGGCUGCCCCUAGCUGCAGGAAGAGCUGGGAAAGGUAGUUUUUAUUCUGGGUGGCGAUGUGCCAAGCUAAAGACAUCAGGGGUUCCAUGUUAAAGGAGGAAGAGGGAAAUGAAGAAUGCCAGACACAGCAUUUUCUGCCACAUAUGAUCAAAUAAAUUUGAGAAAUACUUGGUUAAACAAAAUGAAAUAGGCUUCUUCACUGCAGAAUGUCUCAACCUUUAGUGCGCUCAUGGACAUUGCUAAUCUGUAAAAGAGGCUGUAGUAGUAUGUAGCCUUUCCAAAAUGUAUUAAAUGAUAGAAUUGGUGUGUGUGUGUGAAGCACCUUACGGAAUUGGUGUUCUGCAGAGGCUAUUCAGGUAAACGUAGUCCUUGAUUAUAGAGUUCAAAAAUAACCAAGCUAGGCAACAUGCUUUCAUUUUAAAGACUAAAUGCCAUUCCUUCAAUCAGCCUAGACCACCUACCCUGGAAACGACAGGCCCUGGGCCAAGUGCUGGGAUAUAUGGCUGAGUCAUGAUUCCUGCUCUCAAUAAGUUCAAAGUCAAGAGAGACACAUUCUCAGCAAAAUAAUGACAAGAAAUGCCAGAAUAGAACCUGGACUGGAAGAAUGUGACAUUGGCCUGCAGAAUCAGGUGGCUGGGGUGGAGGCUGUGGACAGCAUAGAGUGGGGUGGGCGGAAAAGGGUUGGUGCAAGGCAGUGAGUCUGGAGGGGUGAGUGCAGCCAGUGGUGAAAAGCCUCAAGUGCUGUGCCAAGGAUGUGUGCCUUCUCGUUGUGGCACCUGGAAGGAGACUGCGGGGUGCAGAAGGGCCAUGUACCAGGGAGUGGAUCGUGAUCUUUCCUCCUCCCUGGCUCCCAGCCUGCUGCCCGUAUGAAGGGCUUCUUCCUGUCCCGACACAAGACAGUGAAUUGGUCACCAGAACACAUAGCCCCAAAAGAUUGGCCAUCAGAACUGUGUGUGUGUGUGUGUGUGCAAGUGUGUGUGAAUGUAUGUAUGUGUGUUGUGUAUGGCAGUGUAUGCAUGUGAGUGUGAGUGUGAGCAUGUCUGUGGGCAUGUGGGCUUGUGUAAUGUGUAUGAUCAUGUGCAUGUGUGUGUGAGUGGGUGUGGAUGUGUGGACAGCCAGGGAGGCCAAGGAGAGGGAGAGCAUACUGCCUUUGCCUAGAAAGGUGUAGCAAAGCCAGGCAGUGUGUCCCUGGCUUUCCCCAGGGGAAGAGGGGGACACUGGGCCAGAAACUUGAGCUCCUGGCCUCUGCUGAAUCUCUGUGCAUUCAAGGGGAGAUAUGUGCAUGAAGUCAUUGCAGUGUGACGCCUCUGUACUCAUCAGAUCACCCACGUCAUCUAAUGCACUCCCAUCACAUUCCAGACUCAGUGCUGCCAUCAGCUCCCUAGGAGCUCUCCCUCCAGGAAGGGAAUGUGUCCACCGUCAGACACUCAGACCCAGCAUGUGGGGACAGAGGCUGAUGGCCUGUCUGGCCAUUCCUCUCAGUUCCUCUCCUCACUAGCUUGUGUCCUUGUGCAAGUCACUUACCCUCUCUGAGGUUCAGUUCCCUCCUCUUUGAAGUGGGUUUAAUAAUAGUACCUGCCACAUAGGUUGUGAAGAUUGAUGAGAUUAACCAUAUAAUGUGCUUAGCACAAUGCCUAAUGUAUGGCAAGCCUUCCAAAAGUAUACGCUACCAUCAUAAUGAUCAAUAUGAUAAUAAAUCAAAACAUCCGUAUUGUUUUUCAUAUGUG
rnacentral:lncRNA from 10 species